CAAGGGUUGGGCCACCGGCUUCAGGUGUUACCGACUUUCAUGACUUGACGGGCGGUGUGUACAAGACCCGGGAACGUAUUCACCGCAGCGUUGCUGAUCUGCGAUUACUAGCGACUCCGACUUCAUGAGGUCGAGUUGCAGACCUCAAUCCGAACUGGGACCGGCUUUUUGGGAUUCGCUCCACCUCACGGUAUUGCAGCCCUUUGUACCGGCCAUUGUAGCAUGCGUGAAGCCCAAGACAUAAGGGGCAUGAUGAUUUGACGUCAUCCCCACCUUCCUCCGAGUUGACCCCGGCAGUAUCCCAUGAGUUCCCACCAUUACGUGCUGGCAACAUAGAACGAGGGUUGCGCUCGUUGCGGGACUUAACCCAACAUCUCACGACACGAGCUGACGACAACCAUGCACCACCUGUUCACCAGUGUCCAAAGAGUCCCGUAUUUCUACGGUGUUCUGGUGUAUGUCAAGCCUUGGUAAGGUUCUUCGCGUUGCAUCGAAUUAAUCCGCAUGCUCCGCCGCUUGUGCGGGUCCCCGUCAAUUCCUUUGAGUUUUAGCCUUGCGGCCGUACUCCCCAGGCGGGGAACUUAAUGCGUUAGCUGCGUCACGGAAACCGUGGAAUGGUCCCCACAACUAGUUCCCAACGUUUACGGGGUGGACUACCAGGGUAUCUAAGCCUGUUUGCUCCCCACCCUUUCGCUCCUCAGCGUCAGUUACGGCCCAGAGAUCUGCCUUCGCCAUCGGUGUUCCUCCUGAUAUCUGCGCAUUCCACCGCUACACCAGGAAUUCCAAUCUCCCCUACCGCACUCUAGUCUGCCCGUACCCACUGCAGGCCCGAGGUUGAGCCUCGGGAUUUCACAGCAGACGCGACAAACCGCCUACGAGCUCUUUACGCCCAAUAAUUCCGGAUAACGCUUGCGCCCUACGUAUUACCGCGGCUGCUGGCACGUAGUUAGCCGGCGCUUUUUCUGCAGGUACCGUCACUCUCGCUUCUUCCCUGCUAAAAGAGGUUUACAACCCGAAGGCCGUCAUCCCUCACGCGGCGUUGCUGCAUCAGGCUUCCGCCCAUUGUGCAAUAUUCCCCACUGCUGCCUCCCGUAGGAGUCUGGGCCGUGUCUCAGUCCCAGUGUGGCCGGUCACCCUCUCAGGCCGGCUACCCGUCGACGCCUUGGUGAGCCAUUACCUCACCAACAAGCUGAUAGGCCGCGAGCCCAUCCCAGACCGAAAAAUCUUUCCAACCCCCACCAUGCGAUGAGAGCUCAUAUCCAGUAUUAGACGCCGUUUCCAGCGCUUAUCCCAGAGUCCAGGGCAGGUUGCUCACGUGUUACUCACCCGUUCGCCACUGAUCCACCAAGCAAGCUUGGC
rnacentral:rRNA from 1 species